GGACGAGCCUCUGGAGAGAUCCAUUAAAUUGGACGCCGAAGGAGCAAAGCGACAAUGUCGUUGAAACUCUCAGGUACAAAGGACAGAGGAUAGGAU
rfam:Moritella viscosa genome assembly, chromosome: 1